GACGAACGCUGGCGGCGUGCCUAAUACAUGCAAGUCGAGCGGACUGAAUGGGAGCUUGCUCUUGUUCGGUCAGCGGCGGACGGGUGAGUAACACGUGGGCAACCUGCCCGCAAGACCGGGAUAACUCCGGGAAACCGGAGCUAAUACCGGAUAACACCGAAGACCGCAUGGUCUUUGGUUGAAAGGCGGCGCAAGCUGCCACUUGCGGAUGGGCCCGCGGCGCAUUAGCUAGUUGGUGAGGGAACGGCUCACCAAGGCGACGAUGCGUAGCCGGCCUGAGAGGGUGCCCGGCCAACCUGGGACUGAGACACGGCCCAGACUCCUACGGGAGGCAGCAGUAGGGAAUCUUCCGCAAUGGGCGAAAGCCUGACGGAGCGACGCCGCGUGAGCGAAGAAGGCCUUCGGGUCGUAAAGCUCUGUUGUGAGGGACGAAGGAGCGCCGUUUGAAGAAGGCGGCGCGGUGACGGUACCUCACGAGGAAGCCCCGGCUAACUACGUG
rnacentral:rRNA from 1 species